rnacentral:rRNA from 1 species
GACGUAGGGCGCGAGCGUUGUCCGGAAUUAUUGGGCGUAAAGCGCGUGUAGGCGGCUUUGCAAGUCGGGUGUGAAAUCCCUCAGCUCAACUGAGGAAGUGCGCCCGAAACUGCUUUGCUUGAGUGCCGGAGAGGAUGGCGGAAUUCCCCAAGUAGAGGUGAAAUUCGUAGAUAUGGGGAGGAACACCGGUGGCGAAGGCGGCCAUCUGGACGGUAACUGACGCUGAGACGCGAAAGCGUGGGUAGCGAACAGG